rnacentral:rRNA from 1 species
UACAGAGGUCCCGAGCGUUGUUCGGAUUCACUGGGCGUAAAGCGUACGUAGGCGGAUUGUUAAGUGAGGGGUGAAAUCCCGAGGCUCAACCUCGGAACUGCCUUUCAUACUGGCAAUCUUGAGUCCGGGAGAGGUGAGUGGAACUCCUAGUGUAGAGGUGAAAUUCGUAGAUAUUAGGAAGAACACCAGUGGCGAAGGCGGCUCACUGGCCCGGAACUGACGCUGAGGUACGAAAGCGUGGGGAGCAAACAGG